rnacentral:rRNA from 1 species
UACGUAGGGUGCAAGCGUUGUCCGGAAUUAUUGGGCGUAAAGAGCUCGUAGGCGGUUUGUUGCGUCGGCUGUGAAAUCCCGAGGCUCAACCUCGGGUCUGCAGUCGAUACGAGCAAACUAGAGUGUUGCAGGGGAGACUGGAAUUCCUGGUGUAGCGGUGAAAUGCGCAGAUAUCAGGAGGAACACCGGUGGCGAAGGCGGUUCUCUGGGCCUUACCUGACGCUGAGGAGCGAAAGCGUGGGGAGCAAACAGG